rnacentral:rRNA from 1 species
UACGGAGGGUGCGAGCGUUGUUCGGAAUCACUGGGCGUAAAGGGCGUGUAGGCGGUCUGUUAAGUCUGAUGUGAAAGCCCGGGGCUCACCCCCGGAAGUGCAUUGGAUACUGGCGGACUCGAGUCCCGGAGAGGAGGGUGGAAUUCCUGGUGUAGUGGUGAAAUGCGUAGAUAUCAGGAGGAACACCGGUGGCGAAGGCGGCCCUCUGGACGGUGACUGACGCUGAGACGCGAAAGCGUGGGGAGCAAACAGG